GAUGAACGCUAGCGGCAGGCCUAAUACAUGCAAGUCAAGGGGAUAGCAAUAUCACCGGCGGACGGGUGCGUAACGCGUACACAACGUGCCCAAGGGCGGAGGAAAGCGGCGGGAAACUGCCGGUAAUACUCCAUGGUGUUGUUGAGUGGCAUCACUUAACAACUAAAGUACAAGCGCCCUUGGAUCGGUGUGCGUUCGAUUAGCUAGUUGGCGGGGUAACGGCCCACCAAGGCUUCGAUCGAUAGGGGGGUGUGAGAGCAUGACCCCCCACACGGUACUGAGACACGGACCCGACUCUACGGGAGGCAGCAGUAAGGAAUAUUGGACAAUGGGCGGAAGACCUGAUCCAGCCAUGCCGCGUGAAGGACGAAGGCGCUCAGCGUUGUAAACUU
rnacentral:rRNA from 1 species